ensembl:lncRNA
AGAGAGAGAGAGAGGGGGCAGCAGAGAGAGGGAGAGGGGGCAGCAGAGAGAGAGAGAGAGAGGGCAGCAUAAAGAGAGAGGGGGCAGCAGAGACAGAGAGAGGGCAGCAGAGAGAGAGAGAGAGGGCAGCAGAGAGAGAGAGGUCAGCAGAGAGAGAGGUCAGCAGAGAGAGAGAGGUCAGCAGAGAGAGAGAGAGAGAGGGCAGCAGAGAGAGAGAGAGGGAGGGCAGCAGAGAGUGAGAGAGGGAGGGCAGCAGAGAGACAGAGAGGGAGGGCAGCAGAGAGAGAGAGGAGGGCAGCAGAGAGAGAAUGGGGCAGCAGAGAGAGAGGGGGCAGUAGAGGGAGAAGUGGGGGUUGCAGUAGAGAAAGGGAGAGGGCAUUAUAGAGAGGGAGAGAGGGGGCAGCAGAGAGAGAGGGGGCAGUAGAGAUAGGGAGAGGGCAGCAUAGAGAGGGAGAGAGAGGGGCAGCAUAGAGAGAGGGGGCAGCAUAGAGAGGGAGAGAGGGCAGCAGAGAGAGAGAGGACAGCAGAGAGAGAGAAGGGCAGCAGAGAGAGAGAGGGGGUAGCAGAGAGAGAGAGGGGGCAGUAGAGAGAGAGAGGGGGCAGCAGAGAGAGAGAGGGGGCAGUAGAGAAUGGGAGAGAGCAGUAUAGAGAGGGAGAGAGAGCAGCAUAGAGAGGGAGAGGGCAGCAGAGAGAGGGAGAGAGAGGGCAGCAGAGAAAGAGGGGGAGCAGAGAGAGAGGGGGCCGCAUAGAGAGAGGGGGCAGCAGAGAGAGAGAGAGAGGGGGGGCAGCAUAGAGGGAGAGAGGGGCAGUAGAGAAAGGAGAGAGAGAGGGGGCAGUAGAAGGAGAGAGGGG